UACGAAGGGGGCUAGCGUUGCUCGGAAUCACUGGGCGUAAAGCGCACGUAGGCGGGUCGUUAAGUCGGGGGUGAAAUCCUGGAGCUCAACUCCAGAACUGCCUUCGAUACUGGCGACCUUGAGUCCGGGAGAGGUGAGUGGAACUCCGAGUGUAGAGGUGAAAUUCGUAGAUAUUCGGAAGAGCACCAGUGGCGAAGGCGGCUCACUGGCCCGGUACUGACGCUGAGGUGCGAAAGCGUGGGGAGCAAACAGG
rnacentral:rRNA from 1 species